rnacentral:rRNA from 1 species
UCAUGGCAAGCGUUGUCCGGCUUGAGCUUGAUCCUGGCUCAGAUUGAACGCUGGCGGCAGGCCUAACACAUGCAAGUCGAGCGGCAGCACGAGAAAGCUUGCUUUCUUGGUGGCGAGCGGCGGACGGGUGAGUAAUACAUGGGAAUCUGCCCGAUAGUGGGGGACAACGUUUCGAAAGGAACGCUAAUACCGCAUACGUCCUACGGGAGAAAGCAGGCUUAGGCUUGCGCUAUCGGAUGAGCCCAUGUCGGAUUAGCUUGUUGGUGAGGUAAUGGCUCACCAAGGCGACGAUCCGUAACUGGUCUGAGAGGAUGAUCAGUCACACCGGAACUGAGACACGGUCCGGACUCCUACGGGAGGCAGCAGUGGGGAAUAUUGGACAAUGGGGGCAACCCUGAUCCAGCCAUGCCGCGUGUGUGAAGAAGGCCUUCGGGUUGUAAAGCACUUUCAGCGAGGAGGAAAGCAAUAAGGUUAAUACCCUUAUUGUGUGACGUUACUCGCAGAAGAAGCACCGGCAAACUCCGUGCCAGACAGCGCUGUCGCGUAAUCGACAGAU